rnacentral:lncRNA from 1 species
UGGCUCCCAUUAAGAUGACAUCUAGCCUAUAGGCCAUUGAAUAGAAAAAAGACAUUCCUUCCUCAAGCACUUAACUUCCAUUCAGCCAAAGCUUAUGUGUAUUGAUUUUGUUGCAAGACACGGUACUGCCGUCUGCUAGAAAAUGGUGUAGCAAUAAAAUCCAAAUGUAAAAUUUCUACAUCUAAAUAGAUUUUUCUGGAAUGAAAGAAUGAAUGUAUUCUAUUGAUCCUGGUUAUGCUUUGAAGCUGUAAUCUGUCAGUACCCUCUGUGGUCACUAGAUAGGAAGUUGGAGAAUAUUCAGAGUGAUAAAGAGAAGGGUAAUGGGAAAGUCUAAAUGAGUGCUUCUCAAAUUUUAAUGGGCGUAUGAAUCACCCAGGAAUCUUGUUAAAAUGCAAAUUAUAAUUUGGAUGUGGGGCCUGGGAUUCUGCAUUUCUCACAAGCUCCCAGUUCACUUAUCAUCUGAUAAGAAUGCUGUUGGUCCAUAGGCCACACUUCGAGUAGAAAGACUCUAAAACAACAGUCAAUCUUGGCUUCUUGCUAAGUAAAUGUUUUUUAGUAAAAAUUGUCACUCUUAGUUCAUUGAAAUUGAUUCAGUAUUCUAUUAAUUUCUGUGUUGAAUCUUGGAAUGGAAAGAAACUUCCAGGUGAUUCUAAUGUGCAGCCAAGGUUGAGAACCACUGGUCUAGUGAAAAGUCAUGCAUCCAAAGCACCUAAAUGUAGGGACUACGUGUAAAAGGCAUUCACAAAUGAAAAACAUCAAAUAAUUGUGAUUUUACAUUUUAAAAAAAGAAUUAUUCUUCGUCUGAAUAUAUUUAUCACCACAUGAAUGAUAUACAUUACUAAGUAUUGCAGGCGUGUCCAACCUUUUGGCUGCACUGGGCCACAUUGGAAGAAGAAUUGUCUUGGG